UGGUGGGUAGUUUGACUGGGGCGGUCUCCUCCUAAAGAGUAACGGAGGAGCACGAAGGUUGGCUAAUCCUGGUCGGACAUCAGGAGGUUAGUGCAAUGGCAUAAGCCAGCUUGACUGCGAGCGUGACGGCGCGAGCAGGUGCGAAAGCAGGUCAUAGUGAUCCGGUGGUUCUGAAUGGAAGGGCCAUCGCUCAACGGAUAAAAGGUACUCCGGGGAUAACAGGCUGAUACCGCCCAAGAGUUCAUAUCGACGGCGGUGUUUGGCACCUCGAUGUCGGCUCAUCACAUCCUGGGGCUGAAGUAGGUCCCAAGGGUAUGGCUGUUCGCCAUUUAAAGUGGUACGCGAGCUGGGUUUAGAACGUCGUGAGACAGUUCGGUCCCUAUCUGCCGUGGGCGCUGGAGAACUGAGGGGGGCUGCUCCUAGUACGAGAGGACCGGAGUGGACGCAUCACUGGUGUUCGGGUUGUCAUGCCAAUGGCACUGCCCGGUAGCUAAAUGCGGAAGAGAUAAGUGCUGAAAGCAUCUAAGCACGAAACUUGCCCCGAGAUGAGUUCUCCCUGACUCCUUGAGAGUCCUGAAGGAACGUUGAAGACGAC
rnacentral:rRNA from 1 species